rnacentral:misc_RNA from 1 species
AACUUUUGACAAUGGAUCACUGCGGGUUCCUGCGAUUCACCUUUCCUGCGCAUUCGAAGCCAAGCGUUGUGGUCGAGGCCACUCGCGCCCACACGCCGGGCUUCGUGCACAUCGACGCCGCAGCGCACGAGAUCGUCGGCUACAACCCCGAUCGCAUGGACGCCCAUUUGAUCGACCUGGUACUCCCCCAUUUCAAGGGGUACUUCGUCGUGAAGUUCAGCGCGGGGUUCCGCUCGCACGGUGUGUAUUUAGGCGCGGACGUCCACCGCGGCAUGGGCACCGCGCAAGGCCCGAACGCAGGCGGCUACGUUACAUUUGAGACCUCGAAAGGCCAGGUCGUCGAGGCGAAGGUCGGGACGUCCUUUAUCAGUAUCGAGCAGGCGCGCAGGAAUCUGCACCUGGAGAUUCCGUCGUGGGAUUUCGAACAUGUGCGGGCCCAACUUAAGCAUAUCAAUAAGCGGAGGCU